rnacentral:rRNA from 1 species
UACGUAGGGGCGAGCGUUGUCCGGAUUUACUGGGCGUAAAGGGUGAGUAGGCGAUUAUAUAUGUCAGGUGUAAAAGACAAUGGCUCAACCAUUGUUAGCACUUGAAACUGUAUGACUUGAGUGCAGGAGAGGUAAGCGGAAUUCCUAGUGUAGCGGUGAAAUGCGUAGAUAUUAGGAGGAACACCAGUGGCGAAGGCGGCUUACUGGACUGUAACUGACGCUGAGACACGAAAGCGUGGGUAGCAAACAGGAUUAGAUACCCCUGUA